rnacentral:rRNA from 1 species
UAGGGAAUCUUCCGCAAUGGGCGAAAGCCUGACGGAGCAACGCCGCGUGAGUGAUGAAGGUCUUAGGAUCGUAAAACUCUGUUAUUAGGGAAGAACAAACGUGUAAGUAACUGUGCACGUCUUGACGGUACCUAAUCAGAAAGCCACGGCUAACUACGUGCCAGCAGCCGCGGUAAUACGUAGGUGGCAAGCGUUAUCUGGAAUUAUUGGGCGUAAAGCGCGCGUAGGCGGUUUUUUAAGUCUGAUGUGAAAGCCCACGGCUCAACCGUGGAGGGUCAUUGGAAACUGGAAAACUUGAGUGCAGAAGAGGAAAGUGGAAUUCCAUGUGUAGCGGUGAAAUGCGCAGAGAUAUGGAGGAACACCAGUGGCGAAGGCGACUUUCUGGUCUGUAACUGACGCUGAUGUGCGAAAGCGUGGGGAUCAAACA